CUGAGCCUCAGUGCUGCAGGGACUAGUGUGGAACCCUGUGUCCUGGUGCCUGAAACCUUACUCCCACCUCAGCAGGGCUGGGCUGAGCCAUCAGCAAGCCUCUGGCCGGCCUCCAUCAUUCAGGAAAGAGCCGGUGGCUGAAGGCACAGCUCUCAGAGGGAGAACAAACGGGGGCGGGGGUGGGAUGGGGGCGGGGCCGGAGGCCACCGGCCUCAGGCUGUCCUGGGCAUCCAGCCAGUGCUGGGCAGUGAGUCAGGGGCCAGGCAUGUGGAGUGGGGCCUCUCCCAGCCCCGGAGAUCAGGCACCUCCCGGAACCCGCCUGCUGGGCCCCCACCAGGCCGCGUUCCUCUCCCACUCGCUCUCCCCAUAGAGGGGACCCUGGACCUGCCUGGGGGGGACGAGGAUGGGGAUGUGGCUGGGCACUCAGAGCUGCAGUUUGCAGGACGAGAGGGAGACGUGCCCAAUCCCCCCAUCCCAGGACGCUCAGCCGUGCGUGGGCUGGGCCCACUCCACUCCCGGCGCCCACAGUUGCCCCAGUGAACCGGCCAGUGGAGGCAUCCUGUCCCGUGUGCGGGAAAGGAAUGACCGCCAAGGUGACAGCAGCGCUUAGCCAACCCUGGCGCUGACACCUGACUUGCAAACUGCUCCCUGCCUGAGGCUUCAAGGCAGGCGAGAGGCUUUGUGUGUGUGACUUCCUCCCCGAAGGGACACUGGCAACAGCUGGAGACAUUUCCUGUUGUUAAGGCUGAGGGGGAGCUGCUGGCAUUUGGUGGGUGGAGGCCAGGGAUGACGUUAACUGUUCUACUACGCCCAGGACAGCCCCCAACACACACAACAGCCUGGCCCAAUGUCACGAGAGCUGAGGUGGAACAGCCCUGUUCUGCUUCAGGUCUUCAGGUCUUUGGGGGUCAAGGAUGCAAAUAGAGGACUCUGCUCCCAAUUCAGCUCACAUAAAAGAACCGGCCGGGCGCUGUCGCUCAUGCCUAUAAUCCCAGCGCUUUGGGAGGCCGAAGUGGGAGGAUCGCUUGAGCCCAGGAGUUUGAGACCAGCCUGGGUAACAUAGCAAGAUCCCAUUUCUACGAAAGUACAAAAAUUACCUGGGCACGGUGGCAUGCACCUGUAGUCCCAGCGGCUUGGGAGGCUGAGGUGGGAAGUUUGCUUGAGCCCAGGAGGUUGAGGCUGCAGUGAGCCGAGAUCAUGCCAGUGCACUCCAGCCUCGGCGACAGAGUUAGACUCUAUCUCAAAAAAGAAAAAAGAGAGAAAACCCACCAACUUGGAAAAUUAAAACAGCCCCAAGGGCAUCUAGGAACAGUUAACUGCACAUCUAAACCCAGGCCCGCCGUUCUUAGAAGCUCUGCAAGCUGCAUGGACUGACUCCUGACAUUUCAGGGCUAGACUCAAAAAUCCCUUUAAAAAAAUUUUGUUUCUGAGACGGAGUUUCACUCUUGUCCAAGCUGGAGUGGAAUGGCACGAUCUCGGCUCACUGCAACCUCCACCUCCUGGGUUCAAGUAAGUCUCCUGCCACAGCCUCCAGAGUAGCUGGGAUUACAGGUGCCCGCCACCAUGCCUGGCUAACUUGUAUUUUUAGUAGAGAUGGGGUUUCACC
rnacentral:lncRNA from 10 species